rnacentral:rRNA from 1 species
GAUGAACGCUAGCGGCAGGCCUAAUACAUGCAAGUCGAACGGGAUCUGAGGGUAGCUUGCUACCCGAUUUGAGAGUGGCGCACGGGUGCGUAACGCGUGAGCAACCUACCCAUAUCAGGGGGAUAGCCCGAAGAAAUUCGGAUUAACACCGCAUAAUAAUACGCUAACACAUAUUGAUGUAUUUAAAUAUUUAUAGGAUAUGGAUGGGCUCGCGUGACAUUAGCUAGUUGGUAAGGUAACGGCUUACCAAGGCGACGAUGUCUAGGGGCUCUGAGAGGAGAAUCCCCCACACUGGUACUGAGACGCGGACCAGACUCCUACGGGAGGCAGCAGUAAGGAAUAUUGGUCAAUGGGCGCAAGCCUGAACCAGCCAUGCCGCGUGCAGGAUGACUGCCCUAUGGGUUGUAAACUGCUUUUGUUAGGGAAUAAACCUUCUUACGUGUAAGGAGCUGAAUGUACCUAAAGAAUAAGGAUCGGCUAACUCCGUGCCAGCAGCCGCCGUAA